CCCCUGGGUGCCCAGUGGCCAUGGGCACGAUGCUGCCGCCAUCCCAAAGCCGUGGCGGUCGCUGUGGAUUUGCCCAUUGUGACGGGGCCCCCACGGUGAGCGUGGGCUCUUUAAGGAGGGAGAGCCCUGCAGUAACCGGUGCAGAGGAGAGCCCUCCCCUCCCUCGGGAGGCUGCAUCUCCCGGGGCUGCCCUGCGCAUCCAGGGCAAAGUAAUUUGUCAGGCGUGUGGCACGUGAAAUCUUCACCAUAAACACUGUGUGACUUGUGCAAGCAAGCUGCCUGAAAUACAGACGCUGAGGCUUCUUGCAUCAAUCACAGCUGGGUUAAUCAAAUCAAAGCACAGCACUCUUUUUCUCUGGAAAACUGAAGUCCUAGCCCUGUGUCCCUGCACCUCUUUCUGUUACACAGCUGAUCUGUUCAUUUGGGUUUAACAGCUCAGCAACAAGCUGGGUCUUUUGCUUCGCUCGAGAUGAGGAAAAGAAAUAAUUCUGAA